UGAGCAAUCUGCCCUUCACAUCGGAUAACCAUUGGAAACGAUGGCUAAUACCGAAUAUGACUUCGGAUCGCAUGAUCUGAAGUGGAAAGCUCCGGCGGUGAAGGGAUGAGCUCGCGGCCUAUCAGCUUGUUGGUGAGGUAAUAGCUCACCAAGGCGAUGACGGGUAGCCGGCCUGAGAGGGUGACCGGCCACACGUGGGACUGAGACACGGCAGA
rnacentral:rRNA from 1 species